AUUGAACGCUGGCGGCAGGCCUAACACAUGCAAGUCGAGCGGACGUAGCAAUACGUUAGCGGCGGACGGGUGAGGAAUGCAUCGGAACGUGCCGUGUAGUGGGGGAUAACACAGCGAAAGUUGUGCUAAUACCGCAUACGCCCUGAGGGGGAAAGUGGGGGACCGCAAGGCCUCACGCUAUAUGAGCGGCCGAUGCCCGAUUAGCUAGUUGGUGAGGUAACGGCUCACCAAGGCGACGAUCGGUAGCUGGUCUGAGAGGAUGAUCAGCCACACUGGAACUGAGACACGGUCCAGACUCCUACGGGAGGCAGCAGUGGGGAAUAUUGGACAAUGGGGGCAACCCUGAUCCAGCCAUGCCGCGUGAGUGAAGAAGGCCUUCGGGUUGUAAAGCUCUUUAAGCGGGGAGGAAGGUCGUACAGUUAAUACCUGUGCGAAUUGACGUUACCUGCAGAAUAAGCACCGGCUAACUCUGUGCCAGCCGCCGCAGUAAAAC
rnacentral:rRNA from 1 species